CGUUGGUGAACCAGCGGAGGGAUCAUUAGCGAGUUUUUACCAACUCCAAACCCUUGCGAAUUGUAAGAAGCCAGUAUACUUGCCGGCGCUACCUAAUUUCGGCGGGUGUGGGGGUUCCGGGGACACCUGUCCCGGUCCCCUCACGGGGAAACCAGCCCGCCGGAAGCGCCAAAACACUACGUAUCUUAUUGGCGUUUUUUUAUCCACUGAGUGGUAAUUUAAGUUACAAAAAAAAACAAGUUAAAACUUUCAACAACGGAUCUCUUGGUUCUGGCAUCGAUGAAGAACGGAGCGAAAUCCGAUAAGUAAUGCGAAUUGCAGAUUUCAGCGAGUCAUCGAAUCUUUGAACGCACAUUGCACCCGGCGGUAUUCCGCCGGGUAUGCCUGUUCGAGCGUCAUUUCAACCCUCAGGCCCCCCCCGCCCCGCUAAGGCGCGGGAGAAUAGGCCUGGCGUUGGGGUGCUGCAGCCCCAUAGUCGGCUGCAGGCUCCGAAAACUAGCGGCGCACCUGCCGAUGGUAGCCCCUGCGUAGUAGAAUUUUCAACCUCGCAUCGGUUCCCGGCGGCGUGCGGCCCAAACGGCGGAAGCCAAUUUAUCUUAGUUGACCUCGAAUCAGGUAGGGUUACCCGCUGAACUUAAGCAUAUCAAUAAGCGGAGGAAAAGAA
rnacentral:rRNA from 1 species